ensembl:snoRNA small nucleolar RNA SNORA17
UUUGCCCCAUGAGACGUAACUCUGGCAGUGAUGCCACUGUUGUGCUAAAGGUGGGCAGAAAGAAACUGGCUUGCGAUCGACCCUGCUGUCCUGUAUGGUGGACCGGGGGCUUGGAGCGAGGCCAGAUAAC